rnacentral:rRNA from 1 species
UAACCUGCCCAAGAGAUCGGGAUAACACCUGGAAACAGAUGCUAAUACCGGAUAACAACAGAUGAUGCCUAUCAACUGUUUAAAAGAUGGUUCUGCUAUCACUCUUGGAUGGACCUGCGGUGCAUUAGCUAGUUGGUAGGGUAACGGCCUACCAAGGCGAUGAUGCAUAGCCGAGUUGAGAGACUGAUCGGCCACAUUGGGACUGAGGACACGGCCCAAACUCCGUACGGGAGGCAGCAGCG